rnacentral:rRNA from 1 species
GACGAACGCCGGCGGCGUGCUUAACACAUGCAAGUCGAACGGAAAGGCCCUGCUUUUGUGGGGUGCUCGAGUGGCGAACGGGUGAGUAACACGUGAGUAACCUGCCCUUGACUUUGGGAUAACUUCAGGAAACUGGGGCUAAUACCGGAUAGGAGCUCCUGCUGCAUGGUGGGGGUUGGAAAGUUUCGGCGGUUGGGGAUGGACUCGCGGCUUAUCAGCUUGUUGGUGGGGUAGUGGCUUACCAAGGCUUUGACGGGUAGCCGGCCUGAGAGGGUGACCGGCCACAUUGGGACUGAGAUACGGCCCAGACUCCUACGGGAGGCAGCAGUGGGGAAUAUUGCACAAUGGGCGGAAGCCUGAUGCAGCAACGCCGCGUGCGGGAUGACGGCCUUCGGGUUGUAAACCGCUUUCGCCUGUGACGAAGCGUGAGUGACGGUAAUGGGUAAAGAAGCACCGGCUAACUACGUGCCAGCAGCCGCGGCGAUACGUAGGGUGCGAGCGUUGUCCGGAUUUAUUGGGCGUAAAGGGCUCGUAGGUGGUUGAUCGCGUCGGAAGUGUAAUCUAGGGGCUUAACCCUGAGCGUGCUUUCGAUACGGGUUGACUUGAGGAAGGUAGGGGAGAAUGGAAUUCCUGGUGGAGCGGUGGAAUGCGCAGAUAUCAGGAGGAACACCAGUGGCGAAGGCGGUUCUCUGGGCCUUUCCUGACGCUGAGGAGCGAAAGCGUGGGGAGCGAACAGGCUUAGAUACCCUGGUAGUCCACGCUGUAAACGGUGGGUACUAGGUGUGGGGUCCAUUCCACGGGUUCCGUGCCGUAGCUAACGCUUUAAGUACCCCGCCUGGGGAGUACGGCCGCAAGGCUAAAACUCAAAGGAAUUGACGGGGCCCCGCACAAGCGGCGGAGCAUGCGGAUUAAUUCGAUGCAACGCGUAGAACCUUACCUGGGUUUGACAUGGAUCGGGAGUGCUCAGAGAUGGGUGUGCCUCUUUUGGGGUCGGUUCACAGGUGGUGCAUGGCUGUCGUCAGCUCGUGUCGUGAGAUGUUGGGUUAAGUCCCGCAACGAGCGCAACCCUUGUUCACUGUUGCCAGCACGUUAUGGUGGGGACUCAGUGGAGACCGCCGGGGUCAACUCGGAGGAAGGUGGGGAUGACGUCAAGUCAUCAUGCCCCUUAUGUCCAGGGCUUCACGCAUGCUACAAUGGCUGGUACAGAGAGUGGCGAGCCUGUGAGGGUGAGCGAAUCUCGGAAAGCCGGUCUCAGUUCGGAUUGGGGUCUGCAACUCGACCUCAUGAAGUCGGAGUCGCUAGUAAUCGCAGAUCAGCAACGCUGCGGUGAAUACGUUCCCGGG